GGGGAUGGAAAUUCGAAUUUCCUCCUAUUUCCCAUGACUCAAAACCGUUUCUCCCCUCUCUCCCAUGAUUCUCUCCCCACUCCUUAAAUCUCUCCCACACCGAAACCAAAUCUUCUCCUCUCUAUAACAUACGUUUUCACCAACCAUUUUUUUUUCUCACAUCUCUGCAACAAGAACUCAUUCUCUUGAAAUCCACGGCAGACUUCGAAGGGUGCCGAAUUCUUAAUUCAGUCCUAACUGUGAAAUGAAAUUCUUCAGCUUCAAGAACCUCCUUUUUCAGCCUUGUAAACUCCACAAUCAAGUCCUACUCACAGAGGUGAAUCAUCGCAAGUGAAACGUGAUACUAAGGGGAAGAAAGUGCUUGUGAAUUAAGCAGUCGAGCAGUCAAUAUCCAGCACAAUACAGACAACAUACACCUUCCUUUCAGAGACAAAGUAAAGGAAAUGGAGAACAUUUCUCUGUCACUCCCAAAGAGGAGCUUCUCUUCCAACAAUGCCUUCACUUCUCACAAGUCCAUUUACAAUGAUGUUUUUGGCGGCCCUCCAAAGUUGGGUCCGCCAACUCUGGCCCCACGCUUUGAGGAUUACUUGGAGAUUUUUGGCGGCUUUCACACCUCACAGUCUUCGUCCAUACCCAUGCUCCAUCUCCCACUCAUAUCCAGUGAGGACUCGAGCCUCCACUCUGAUGUUGACUACAAUGAGGUUUUUGGGGGCUGUGAAGGCUUUGACUGUACAGCAUCAGUUGAGGAUUUAGUUGGCCACUCCAGCGGCAGAUAUGACUCAGACUCCUCUGAUGACCCCUGGAGUCCAGCACAAAGUGGGUCUCUGUCAGAUGAAUUAGAUCCGCUGGCUGGAUCUGAUAAGAGCCAAAGGUUAUCAGAUGGUGAUUUUCAGCAGUCAUUGGAAAACAUUAACAAGCAUACUGCAUCUUAUAAUAAAUCUUGUCAUAUCAGUGCCGGAACAGUGCUCACCACGACCAGUCAUGUGACUAAUUUUAGUGCUGUUCCGGGAUAUACUUUCUCUCUUUAUGAAAGUCCUGUUUCCUGGGGCGGGGAUGAUGAAGAUUGCUCCGAGGGCAUGCUAAGUAACACCAACCACGGUGGAGAAUAUGGUGCAAGAGUUGCUGGAGAAAAGCAAUGCAAGUGUUCAUCAAAUUCCUCACUCAGUGGCUCUGAUGCACAUACAAAUGAUUUAAAACCUUCGGAGAUACCUGGGAAUUCUACUUCCCAAAUUAAACCAUUUGUUACUGUAUGUGAUAUCAGUCUGCGAACUAAGCCUUCACGAUUACCACCCCCGUCUAGGCCUCCACCCGUCUUAUCUGUUAAAAAAAGUGAGCAUGACAAACAAAAUGCAGAACGAAAUCCUUGUCAGCGUUAUACCUCUGAUGGAGUGGCUGAUGGCAUUGUACUGCCUUUCUUUGAUGCGAAAAUAAAUGAUACCUUAUUUGCUGAGUGUAAGGAAAGUGAAAAUAGGAAUGUUAAAGUGGAGCGGAAGUAUAACCACAGCCACAGUGCUGCUAACGUGGAGGACAAAACAAAUGAGACUGCCAAGGCCUCCAUGGACACUGAAGAUGAGAAGUUCCUUCACUCAUGUGGGGAUAAAACCCCAGUCUCCAUGCCUAUAGUUGAAGGAAGGAUGGAAUCAAUAGAGAGCACUAAAGAAAUACUAGUGCCUCAUGGAGUCCAAUGCUCUAACAACAGCACUGAUAAUUCUGCCCGGGAUGUUGUUUGGAGGGAAGCAACUGCAUAUUUUGAGUUGCAGACAGAAGCUAGGGGAAAUGAGAAUGAAGUGGAGGCUAAAUUAAAGAGCAAGGAUUCUCCUAAUAGAACGGAUACUGAGAAAAGGUCUGUUGAUUCUCAAAUAACAAAACAGGCUCGUAGUAAGGAUGGACAAAAUAUUCUCAUGGAAGAAUUUCAGAGUUGUUUUGAAGAUGUCAUGCAAGCAGAAACAAGGGAAAUUAUGCAAGACAGAACUGGAAUACAACAAAGAGGGGAUUCUGUAAAACAAUCUGAAAGCAAUCUGGAAGAAAAUUAUGACUUGAAAGAGAAUAGUGAGAUCCUUCGAGAUUCUAAGAAGCAUAGAGAGAGUGGUGACAACUCGGAUAUAGCUGCUGGUCAUGGUAACAGUUCGAAUAGAUUGCUUGACUGUGAGAAAGAUAUGGAAACGGGUAAACUUACAGUGAAUGAGUCAGCAUCUAGGAAGGCUUUUGGUCAAGCCAGAUAUGAGUUGGAUGUAAAUAAAGAGAGAAAUCAAGAUGUGCCCAACAAUGAAGAUACUGUUUUGAGGUUCAGAAUGUCUGAGACAGAAGCAGUUAGUGAGGAAGAGGACUUUGAAACAACAGGAAAUAUGAAAUCGAGCACGGAUGAUAGUUUGCAUGAAGACAUGAGUGAGCAUGCUGAAGAAAUUGAGCCUAAUGGACAUGAUGAGAGUGAAGUAGAAUGGGAUCUCGAUAGUCUUAUCCUCAUAGAUGGGGAUAAAUUGGAAGUGUCAGAGGGAGGAUAUAAAGUUGAUGAAGUGACUGCAACUAAAGACUUGGGGAAGCAUGAUAAUAUGCAAAUGCUGAGAUCCUCUCAAAGAGCAUUUUCACCUGAAGAAAAUGGGGACAUGAAAGAUAAACCUAAGAGUAGUACGUAUAAAACUGAGACUGGGGGUGACAUAUGGGUUCCAGGUGGAUUUCAUGAAUUCAGCAAGAAUCAAGAUGGCUCACUAGAGAUAAACACUCCCAGUGCUGCAAACAAUAUUAUCAAGUCACCUUGUGUACCCAAGCAGAUGUUACAUUCGAAGACUUGUGGCUCUGACAUGGGGGUUUCACGUGUUACAUCAGGUAUAAUAUCGUCAGAACUGGGACACAGUCGUGCUGAGGGCCAAAACAUGAAUUGUGCUCAGUUUACUGUUAAAAGGGUGGAUAUUAGUGAUAACUGCAAUCCGCGUAAAGUGAUAACAGAGUCUACUGCUAGUGGAGGGAAGAUGGAAGAAAUCCCAUCAUUCUUGAAACAAUAUAGUGACAGACUAUCAUCUAAGAAAGAUGCUACAAGCCAUCCAAUUGAAGUAGAAAACUCAAAUAUGAGAGGAAACUUUGCAGGAAAAGACCAAAAAGUAGGGGAAAGAAUGAGACAGGAAAUUGCGCCUGAAAAUGAACAUAUGAGAAAACUAGAGGAAGAAAGAGAGCGGGAAAGGGAAAGAGAAAAGGACAGGAUGGCGGUUGAUAAGGCAGCUCUUGAAGCUCAAGAAAGAUCAUAUUUUGAAGCUCGCGAGAGAGCUGCAGUUGAGAGAGCCACUGUUGAAGUAAGACAAAGAGCUCUUGCUGAGGCUCAAGAAAGACUGGAGAAGGCAUCAGCGGAGGCAAGACUUAGGACUGAUCGAGCUGCUGUAGAGAGAGCAACUGCAGAGGCUCGACAGCGAGCUGCUGAAAAGUUAAUGGCUCAAAAGGCUGCACACGAUCCCCUUGAUCGAAGAGAAAAAUCUGUACCUGAUAGGUUUUCAGCUUCUUCUAGAUUUACUGAUACAAGACAGAGCUUUUUGUCAUCUGACAUUUACUUCCAAGGUACUGGAGUCUCGAAUCGUGUGCGCUAUGCAUAUUCUUCAACACAUGAUGGGGCUGAAAGUGAAUCACCUCAGAGGUGUAAAGCUCGGUUGGAAAGAUAUAGAAGAACUGCAGAGCGUGCAGCAAAUGCCUUGGCAGAGAAAAAUAGGCGAGACUUUCUUGCACAAAAAGAAAGAGAAGAGAGGAAUAAAGUUGCAGAAACUCUGGAUGCUGAAGUCAAGAGAUGGUCAAGUGGAAAACAGGGAAACCUUCGAGCCCUGCUAUCUACUUUACAAUAUAUCCUUGGCCCUGAUAGUGGUUGGCAUCCAGUUUCAUUAACAGAAGUGAUAACUUCUGCGGCUGUUAAAAAAGCUUACAGGAGGGCCACUCUCUGUGUUCACCCUGAUAAAUUACAACAACGUGGUGCGACAAUUCAGCAAAAGUACAUAUGCGAGAAAGUUUUUGAUCUACUAAAGGAAGCUUGGAACAAGUUUAAUUCAGAGGAACGGUGAAUUGAGGUGCCCCAGUCAGGAAGCUUGGAACAAGUUCGUGCCGGAAAUCACAUUUCCGGCAUGUAUAUUCUUAUCAGACUUUUUUCUUUUUAUGGUGACCGUGAUAAGUUUGAGGUUUACAGAGCUGGAAAUCAGAAACAAAAAAGGAAAUAAAGAAACAAAUGGAGUUGGACAUGGGCAGCUCCUUCAUUGCUUAUAUACAUAUAGAAAUACGUAUGUAAUAUAUAUUGAUUGCAUACUUGUAUUAGCACGGUUUUAGUAAGAUGCAGAAUCUAAUCCUAUUUGUACAUCUCCUUUGGUCCAUCUCUUAUCUCUAUUUUUUUUACACUUCUAUUUCUUAUUCCACGUGGAUUUUGUAAAAAUCUUAUUUCUUCUAUUAAAGCUUGGAGAACUCUCUCUUAUACUA